ensembl:snoRNA
AAGAAAUUAACUUUCUGAAGAAAACUCUUUGUAAAUGUCCUAGAGAAAUAUAGUGGCUUUCUGUUCACCCUUUGCAAGUGGAAAGGGUGGAUCGUUCCUCUACUGACAUAU